CAGGAAGAUGCCAAAUAAAGAAGAGAUUCUAGAUUUGCAGCAUGAAACUGAGAGCUCUCUAAAGAUGACAAGAUGCCUGUUUUGGGUCUUUAUCAAUGUUUAGUUGCUAGGAGUUUCCAGUCCACGAUCCUCCACUCAGGCUGAACCUCAUGGUUUCCGUGGCUUGGGGCUGACACAUGCCAGGCCAUGACAGAUGCCAUCAAAGUUGUUCAAGAUUCGAGCUGAAAAGGAAAAUCCUCUCGAACAGGAUAAAUGACAGGCAUGAUUUCCAGGGGUUCCAGGAACCAGGAGCCCUGGUCUGCAUAGAAUAUCGGAUGCUGACUUGCUAUUGAACAACAUGACCUCAGUGGGGAAUGUCUCCUAGUUUGCAUCUCUAUGGGCCUAAGCAUCUGAAUAAACCUGCACCUGGGCAGAAGGACUAGGUAUGGUCCCACACAGCCAAUGAAGUCCUGCCUGACAGCAAUCCCUGGAUGCUCUGGGAAAAAAUUGGGCCAUACCUUCUCAAUUGCCCUGGAUCCAACUUACUCCGUUUCAACUGCCACUCCGACCAGAGCUUUGGGUACUGACUUCAGUCAAGUUGAAGAUUUCAGCCUAGAUCUUCAAUCAAGCAAAUCCCAUCUAACAUGGACUGGAUAUAAUCCAUUAGAGACUUUCACUAUACUAACAUUUUCUUCCUAGAGGACAGCACGAGGCUAUUGUCAUCUCAUUUCAGCAGGAAGUAACUUAGAGAAUGCUACCACCCUUCCCUCCAUUGUUGUCACUAAGGAUAAUGUACACCUGGUUAGGGAUUGCUUCCUAUUGCUAAGGUUGGGAUUGGAAGGAGGUGUUCAUGCUUGGACACCUCCUUCAGAUGACUUUAAGGUUUAGUUAAAAUAGACAUAGGAUAUUGAAAGACCCUCGGACCGAGGAGUCUCUACAAAUCGGACGAUCCCCCCCAAAACACUCAAUGUCCAGUCCAGCUGAUGCAAAAACAAGAGUGUCCUAACAGCAAAACUGAGCGAGAUAGAGGUCAGGCUGUGAUGACCAAGACACAUGGCUGAAACAGAAGUCGGGAAGUCUGUACCCGUGUUUCCAGAUGCCCUCAGCCCUUCUCCAAACCACACAGAGCAGCCAGUAGACCAGAUUAGAGACGAAAGGGAAAAUCCCGGAAGGCGCUCUGAUGUCUCUCCAGCAAAGAAGAAAACAGCGGGCAGAGUCGAGAGAAUAAGGAACCCAGGCAGAGGAGUCCUAGGCAAAGCUCCAGUGGCUCCUCCUACAGACUGCACCACAGCCGAGCAAGGGGCCACCUUGAAGAGAAGAGCAGGGCGAGCCAGAGAAAGAGGAAGGCAUGAGCCCCAGUCUACCCCAUCAAAACAACACUGGACAAGAGAUUCCCAAUCCGGGCACUCAGAACCGCGUCUCAAGGACAGAAGGCCCCACCCAAGAUCUCCUGUGAGGCCCAUGAAGUGCGAAAGGUCUGAAGACACCCGUGCAGCUCCAAGCAACACUCGGAAGAGGACCAGACAACAUUCUGCAGAAGCCGGCUGCUCCAGGGAGCCCUCACUGCUGUCUAGAGUCAGGGCCCACAUGGGUGCCUUGGAGGUGGCCCUGGAAGAACUGCAGGGCCCCGGAGGGGCCUUCCUGCCUGAGCCCUCGGUCAGCACAGAGCCCAGGGUCUCGCAGCGCGCCUGGCUCUCCUGGCAGCUGUCGCAAGCAGGGGCCGCACUGCACUGGGCGCUGCACACAGCCAAUACCAUCUUGGCGAACCAGGCCCGGAUGCCCAGACACCCAUGGCCUUAGGACAGUCAGCCAUUGCAGAGCACAGCAGAGCAGAGACCAGCAUGUCUUGAGCCCUGCUGAGCACCCGAGGGACUCCACCUCAGCGUCUUUUGCCUGGCUCAAUGACACAUGGCCUGUCUCUGCACCAUCUCCUGGAAGGAAGACUCACUGGGGUCUUGGACUGUGCAAAGAGAGACUUCGCUAUUGGUGACUACCUUUACAGUGCACAAGCUUUCGGGAUAUUCUGGAAAAGGACUGACUCAUAGAAUGAAAUCGACCAGUGGAGUCUGGGGACAUCCUACAGGCACCCUCCCACUUCUUUGGACAGGAUCACUCAUGCAAAGUGGGGGUUCAACUUGCUUUCUUUCUGCUGGGCUCUUAGAUACUGCCUGAAUCCAGACUGCAUCAUACUAGCAAAUGCACUGCCAACUAAAAGGCCAUGUUGUCUUGGUUAUUGAUGAAAUUCAGGCCAACACUCACACACUCUUCACUCCAUUUUCCUUUGGGAGAGAGUCAAUCCUUGUAGUUUUUAGAUCUGUGAUGUGUUAAACCUGCCACUCAUUAGAGCUCUAUGUUGUUGCUAUUUUGAAGAUGCACAAGCAUUUCCAUUUUGUAAUGCUUCAUCAUACAUAGUUUUUUUCAUUGUUGUUUUUAUCAAGAUUUCAUUGGUCAACUUAGAAUGCUUA
rnacentral:lncRNA from 1 species